UACGUAGGGUGCGAGCGUUAAUCGGAAUUACUGGGCGUAAAGGGUGCGCAGGCGGCGUCGCAAGUCAGGCGUGAAAUCCCCGGGCUUAACCUGGGAACUGCACUUGUGACUGCAUAGCUAGAGUACGGUAGAGGGGGAUGGAAUUCCGCGUGUAGCAGUGAAAUGCGUAGAUAUGCGGAGGAACACCGAUGGCGAAGGCAAUCCCCUGGACCUGUACUGACGCUCAGGCACGAAAGCGUGGGGAGCAAACAGG
rnacentral:rRNA from 1 species